UACGAAGGGGGCUAGCGUUGCUCGGAAUUACUGGGCGUAAAGCGCACGUAGGCGGCUGUCUAAGUCGGGGGUGAAAUCCUGGAGCUCAACUCCAGAACUGCCUUCGAUACUGGAGAGCUUGAGUCCGGGAGAGGUGAGUGGAACUGCGAGUGUAGAGGUGAAAUUCGUAGAUAUUCGCAAGAACACCAGUGGCGAAGGCGGCUCACUGGCCCGGUACUGACGCUGAGGUGCGAAAGCGUGGGGAGCAAACAGG
rnacentral:rRNA from 1 species